AUUGAACUCUGGCGGAAAGCCUAACACAUGCAAGUCGAGCGAAGCGGCGGACGGGUGAGUAAUGCCUAGGAAUCUGCCUGGUAGAGGGGGAUAACGUCAGGCAACGGGAUCUAAGCACGCAUAAUAUCAGAUGGUCAGAGGUCGGAUUAGCUAGUUGGUGGGGUAAAGGCCUACCAAGGAGAAGAUCCGUAACUGGUCAGAGCGGAUGAUCAGUCACACUGGAACUUAGACACGGUCCAGACUCCUACGGGAGGCAGCAGUGGGGAAUAUUGGACAAUGGGCGAAAGCCUGAUCCAGCCAUGCCGCGUGUGUGAAGAAGGUCUUCGGAUUGUAAAGCACUUUAAGUUGGGAGGCGUUACCAACAGAAUAAGCACCGGCUAACUUCGUGCCAGCCGCCGCGGUAAUUC
rnacentral:rRNA from 1 species